UGACAAGGCCACCUACCGUCCUCCGAAAAUCAGUUUAUUUUUGACUCUGUGAACUUGAAGUGGGUAAGGUGACUUCUUGGAGCCAGUACUGGGUUUUGUCUAUAUCUUAACUGUACUGGAUCAUCUCGGCAGAGAAGAAUAAAAUACAGGGUUGAAGUUGUUGUUGCGGAUUUUGACAUUGAUUGGAUGUACUGGAUCAUCUCUGCUGCUCAGAAGAAACAAACUGCUAGUCUAUGUAGUGUGGGUGUAUUAUAAAAGUUUGUGAAAAAGUGGUGUCUGUAGAUAUUUAGGAAACUGUACUGGAUCAUCUUGACUCGGAAAACUUAAAUACAGGGUUGCAGAUUUUGACAUGGAUUGGAGGUUUGUAAAAGAGCUAGUUACAGAUUUAUUUUAUAAAAGAAAAAAACUUUCAUCUCGUUGAGGCUAAAUAGUUAGAUUGUCAAAGAAAGUAUUUUCUUUCAAGGCUAAAUAGUUAGCUGAUAGUCAAAGAAUUUAUCUAAUCUCUAGGCUGAAUAGUUUGGAGAUAGUAAA